UUUUAGAUAAACACAUCAGUCAUUAGUUCGGUAAACUACAGAUAACUAUCUUGGUCAUUAUUUACUCUCUGAGGAUCGCCUCCGCUAUUUCGCAACGGUCAUUGGUUCAGCUGUUUACACGCGUUUCACCAUCUAAUAACACAAUUUGUGAUUGGACGACAGAAUCAACAUGGCUGCCACCGUCUAACAAGCGCCGCUUCCAAAACAGUAAAUAAUUAUUUAGGUAUUUGAGAAAUAAGUGGAUAAAACGUACAACUAUCACUUUAUAAUGUUUCUGAAGUGUUUCCCUGAUGGAUUACUUCUCUCCUCGAUGGAUUCUAAAAACACGUGACGGCUCGUAACUGCUGAACGUCGCUCUGGACAGAAAUAAAUGACAUGCUGAAGUGAAGUGGUUUGGCUCCUGAAAAACUUCAAGAGAUGGUUGACUGGUUGAAAGUCAACAAAUACCCAGUCUCUUAAGUUGAAGAUUACAUGAAGGAAACGGUUAUACCGAGGCAAGUGGAUCCGUAGUAAUGGAUCUAAAAGCAUCCCAGAAAUACUGAAGGAGUUCCCCAGGCUUGUUGACAAUCCUGGCAUGAUAUCACAAGACUUCCAGUAGCUUCAUCCAGAGGCAGCAGGAAACCUUUUGAAAACUGGGCUGCUAUCAGUGACAGAAUCCUUGCUUAUGUCAAGCGUGAAGGAAAACUGAAUGUAGCACUGGAUGACAUGACACCAGCUGCCAACGGCGAGAGAGCCCUAAAGCUGCUGCCAACCCUGCUUCCUCCUUCAAUUUAUAGAGACAGAGGAAAAGUGUGCAGACCGACGAUUGAGGAGUCACAGAGGGCCUUUAUUGAAACUCAGCCUGUAGCAAUUUGCAUUUAAGGUACAUUACCGCAGAGACAUAAUAAAGAGUAGACGCCGCAGUGGCUGCUGGGGCGCAAGAAAUGCGGCCGCCAUCUUGAACCGGUCAUCCUACCAAAGCAGCAGAAGAUACAAGAUGCCUGAGCACUGUGCGGCGUAUUCCUGUUCAAAUCGGCGGACUAUUGAAAACAAGGCUCGGGGGAUUACUUUUCACAAGUGGCUGUGUUUGGUGGAUGACAAGCCUGGCCGGAACAAGAUGAUGCUGGAUAUGCUGGAGAGAAAAUGCCAGGAAGACCAGGCUAAAUAUGGAUGUGUUGCACUCAUGUUGGAUGCCAUGGCCAUCAGAAAACAAUGUAAUCCACAUACCCAGUCAGUGUCUGGUUUUGUAGACAUGGGUGAUGGAAACAGUGAGCCUGAUGUUGCUAUGGUGCUGUUGAUAUGAAUUAUACUGAUACUCUCUCUA